GCCUGAGUGGCUCAGUCAGUUGAGCUCUUGAUUUCAGCUCAGGUUGUGAUCCCAGGGUCAUGGGAUCGAGCCCCAUGUCAGGCU
rnacentral:tRNA from 1 species